GAUGAACGCUGACAGAAUGCUUAAUACAUGCAAGUCUACUUGAACUUCGGUUUGGGUGGCUGACGGGUGAGUAACGCGUAAAGAACUUUCCUCACAGGUAGGGACAACAUUUGGAAACGAAUGCUAAUACCUGAUAUUAUGAUUUUAGGGCAUCCUAUGAUUAUGAAAGCUUUAUGUGCUGUGAGAGAGCUUUGCGUCCCAUUAGCUAGUGGUAGAGGGUACGGCUCACCAAGGCGAUGAUGGGUAGCCGGCCUGGGAGGGUGAAACGGCACAAGGGGAAUGGGGCACGGCCCUUACUCCUUCGGGAGGCAGCCGUGGGAGAUAUUGGGACAUAGACCAAAAGUCUGAUCCAGCAAUUCUGUGUGCACGAUGACGUUUUUCGGAAUGUAAAGUGCUUUCAGUUGCGAAGAAAAAAAUGACGGUACCAACAGAAGAAGUGACGGCUAAAUACGUG
rnacentral:rRNA from 1 species